UUGACGAAGAAUCCUAUUCUUCAUUCAAGAACGAAACACAUCGAGAUUAGGCACCAUUUUAUAAGAGAUCACGUUCUUAAAGGUGAUGUCGAAAUUUAGUUCGUUGAAACUAAACACCAAUUAGCCGACAUCCUCACCAAGCCUUUAGAUAAAGAGUCGUUCUUCCGUAUUCGUAGUGAACUCGGAAUCCUUGACUCUACGUUGAUCUAAUGCAUACAUUUAGGUUGCAUUUAUUUUUUUGAAUAAUUACUAACUUGAGCGUCGGAGACGUUUAUUUUUCUUUUGCAGGUAUCGCCCUAAAGGCAGGGGGAACUGAGUUAAUUUUUUAUUUGAGAUCGAGUUUAGUAUAAUCAAUUAUAAAUAAUAGAUUAUAUGUUAUUUCAAUUUUUUUGUGAGAUAAUCGAUUAACUUGGGAAGAUAAUCGAUUAUCAUUACAUUCUGUUUCUCCGACCAUUUCUGAAAUUUUAAAAUAAUCGAUUAACGUAGACCGAUAAUCGAUUAUCGUACCUCUGUAGCUCAUGAUAAUCGAUCGUCGUUCACGAUAAUCGAUUAACUAACGGCCAGAUUUCAAAAUUUUACCGUUUUAGAGCCGUUUGAAUCUUAUCAAAUCAGAUUUUUUUCACUCAAAAACUCUCUUUUUUUUACCUCUAAAAAUAGGGAAGUCUUCCACUCAAUUUAUUCACUCACAACUCUAUUCUAUCCACAACACUCUCAUUUUUCACCUCUAUAAAUAGGGAAGUCUUCCACUCAAUUUAUUCAAUCACAACUCUAUUCUAUUCACAAAACUCUCUCCAAAAGCUUCAAAAAAAAAGUCCUCAAAAUUCUCUUUAACUUCUUGUUAUUAUUCACAUGGCUAAUAGAAAUACCAAGCGAUCUCGUGCCGGAAAGAACGUCGCUUCUUCUUCAAAUGUCCCUCAAGAUGUAUUUUGCUAUCAAGAUGGUUCUUUUCUUAAAUUUGAACAAGAAAGUGAACUUCGACGCUUUCUUCAAAAAUUUGAAAAUAGGGAAAUUCUUCCACCCCGUUUUACAACGGCUAGAUAUCUUUCCGACUCCGCUCAUUCAACUAUUCUUCUUCAAAGCCAAAUUGUCAAUUUUGCUUAUCUUUCAUAUUCUUACAUUCAUCCUCAUUUGAUUCGGG
rnacentral:lncRNA from 1 species